UACGAAGGGGGGCUAGCGUUGUUCGGAAUUACUGGGCGUAAAGCGAGCGUAGGUUGCUCGACAAGUCAGUGGUGAAAGCCCAGAGCUCAACUCUGGAACUGCCAUCGAAACUGUCGAGCUGGAAUCUCAGAGGGGGUAGCGGAAUUCCAAAUGUAGGGGGUGAAAUCCGUAGAUAUUCGGAAGAACACCAGUGGCGAAGGCGGCUCACUGGACUGGUAUUGACGCUGAGGUGCGAAAGCGUGGGGAGCAAACAGG
rnacentral:rRNA from 1 species